rnacentral:rRNA from 1 species
AUGCAGAGCCAGAUCGUGUGCCAUGGGUGCAGGAGCGUUCUACUCUACCCCAGAGGGGCCCCGAGCGUGUGCUGCGCCGUGUGCCAUGCCGUCACCAACGCUCCCCCUCCAGGAAUGGAGAUGGCUCAGCUUAUAUGCGUCGGCUGUCGAACUUUAUUGAUGUAUACUCGCAAUGCAACUACUGUCAGAUGCUCAUGUUGUGAUACAGUCAACCUUGCCAGACCAGCACCGCCAGUGAAUAGUAUAGCUCAUGUGAACUGUGGCCAGUGCCAGACGGUGUUAAUGUAUCCAUACGGAGCAUCUUCUGUCAAAUGUGCUAUCUGCAAUUUUAUUACAAACAUUGGAAUGAACACCGUGAGACCUUUGCCACCUACAAUGCAUGCACCAAACGGAAUUUCAUAUAGUGUCCCAUCAACUUCUGCGCCAUCCACUCAGUCGCAGAAUGUAACGGUGGUCGUCGAAAACCCAAUGACAGUAGAUGACAAGGGAAAACUGGUGAGCAACGUCGUAGUCGGGGUUACGUCCGGCGGGAAAAAGUAG